GGUCCCGCUCCCCGGGAAGGAGUGGGUCUGGGUCCAGUCCGCAGGACCCCCUCGCGGAUGCUGACGCAGAAUGGAGUUGAGGUGGGGGCAGCGCUGGACCCUAGGGCCCCUGCCUGCCUCCUGGGGAGCCCGGUGACCCAGGCAGCCCUGGUGAGGCCGCAGGAGUCUGGGCCCUAGCGACGCCCCCGGGCUCCCACAGGACGAAUGUAGACGUCCCAGCCGCGGCCCCUUUAAGAGGGGGUGGUGCUUCAGCCUGGCGCCAGGGACGCUGCCAGCAUGCAGGCCCCGACGGAAGCCGAGACUGCGCUUCGUGCGAGGCCCGGGCAGCAUCGGCGGCGUGGUCAGAGCGAGUCUCGGAGAAGAUGUGGUGGCUUCCGUUUGUUGGUGGAGGAGGUGGCAGGCCUCGGCGGGUAACCCAGAGAACACAGCCGAAGUGGAAUGUGGGGACGUCUGCGACACCGGGGACAGAGCAACUGUGGAUGAAGAGGGCUACAUCUGGUUCCUGGGGAGGAGUCAUGACACUAUCAAUGCCUCUGGGUGGUGAAGGCAUUGAUUGUCCUGACCCCACAGUUUCUGUCCCAUGACAAGGACCAGCUGACUAAGGAGCUGCAGCAGCAUGUAAAGUCAGUGACAGCCCCAUGUUGUAAGGGAAGCAUGGCACCAGCAUCUGCUUCUGAUGAGGGCCUCAGGAAGCUUCCCAUCAUGGCAUAUGGCAAAGAGGGAGCAAGCAAAUCAUGGUGAGAAAGGAAGCAAGAGUGAGCGGGAGGAAAUGCCAGGCUCUUUUGAUCAGCCGGAUCUCGCAUGAAGUCAUAGAGUGAGAACUCAUUCAUUACUGCAGGACAACACCAAGUCAUUUGUGAAGAUUCCAUCCCCGUGACCCAAACACCUCCGGGUAGGCCCACCUCCAACACUGGAGGUCACAUUUCAACAUGAGAUUUGGAGGGGACAAACAUCUAAACCAUAUCAAGAUUUUUCAUUUAUUUGUCUAAAUUGAUUCCUAUGUAUUUCAUAUUUUUGUAGCUAUUGUAAAUGAGAUUGCUUUCUUGAUUUCUUUUUUCAGAUUAUUCACCAUUGACAUAUAUAAAUGCUACUAAUUUCUGUAUGUUGAGUUUGUAUCCAGCAACUUACUGAAUUAGUUUACCAGUUCUAGCAGUUUUUUGGUGGAGUCUUUAGGUUUUUCUAAGUGUAAGUUCAUGUCAUCUGUGAACAAGGCUAUGAUUUCUUUCUUUCCAAUUUUAGUACUCUUUAUUUUUUUCCCUUGCCUAAUUGCUCUUCCAGGACUUCCAAUAUUAUGUUAAAUAAAAGUGGUGAAAAGUGAGCAUCCUUGUCUUAUUCCAGAUGUUAGAAGAAAGGUUUUCAAUAUACAAUGUUAGCUGUGUGUUUGUCAUCUACGGCCUAUGUUAUUUUGAGGUAUGUUUCUUCUAUACCCAGUUUGCUGAGGAUUUUUACUAUAAAGGUAUGUUGAAUUUUAUUGGAUGAUUUUUCAAUAUCUAUUGAAAUGGUCAUAUGGCUUCUGUUCUUGGUUCUGUUAAUGUGAUGUAUCACAUUUAUUGAUUUGCGUAUGUUGAAUCAUCCUUGAAUUCCUGGGAUGAAUUUUACUUGAUCAUGGUGAAUUAUUUUUUAACAUGUUGUUGAAGUUCACUAGUAUUUUGUUGAGAAUUUUUGCAUCUAUGUUUAUGCUUGAUAUUGGCCUGUGGUUUUCUUUUUUGUGUGUAUUUAUCUGGUUUUGGUAUCAGAGUAAUGCUGACUUUCUAGAAUAAGUUUAGAAGUAUUCCCUCCUCUUCAAUUUUUUGAAGCACUUUCUUGAAUAUAAUUAGUAUUAUUUCUUUUUUUUUUUUUUUGAGACAGAGUCUCACUCCAUCGCCCAGGCUGGAGUGCAACGGCGCCAUCUGGGCUCACUGCAACCUCCACCUCCUGGGUUCUAGGGAUUCUCAUGCCUCAGCCUCCUGAGUAGCUGGGACUACAGACAUCCACCACCACACCCAGCUAAUUUUUGCAUUUUUAGUAGAGACAGGGUUUCAACAUGGUGGCCAGGCUGGCCUUGAACUCCUGACCUGAAGUGAUCCACUUGCCUCAGCCUCCCAAAAUGCUGGGAUUACAGGUGUGAGCCACUGUGCCUGGCAGGAUAUUAUUUCUUCUUUAAAUGUUUGGUAGAAUUCAGCAGUGAAGCCAUCAGGUUCUGGGCUUUAUUAAUUAAUUAAUUAAUUAAUUAAUUAGACAUAGUCUUGCUCUAUCACCCAGGCUGGAGUGCAGUGGGGCAAUCUCGGCUCACUGCAACCUCUGCCUCCCAGGUUCAAGUUAUUCUUGUGCUCAGCCUCCUGAGUAGCUAGGAUUACGGGCAUGUGCCACCACGCCCAGCUAAUUUUUAUAUUUUUAGUAGAGAUAGGGUUUUGCUAUUUGGCCAUGCUUGUCUCGAACUCCUGUUCUCAAGUGAUCUGCUUACCUCGGCCUCCCAAAGUGCUGGGAUUACAGGCGUGAGUCCCCAUGCUUACCUGGCUUUUCUUUGGUGAGAGAGUUUUUAUUACUGCUUCGAUCUCGGUACUCAUUAUUGAUUUGUUGAAGUUUUCUAUUUCUUCACGGUUCAAUCUUUUUUUUUUUUUGAGAUGGAGUCUCGCUCUGUCACCCAGGCUGGAGUGCAGUGGUGUGACCUUGGCUCACUGCAACCUCCGCCUCCUGGGUUCAAAUGAUUCUCCUGCCUUAGCCACCCGAGUAGCUGGGAUUACAGGUGCCCACUACCAAGCUUGGCUAAUUUUUGUAUUUUUAGUAGAGGUGGGGUUUCAUGAUGUUGGCCAGGCUGGUCUCUAACUCCUGAACUCAAGUGAUCCACCCACUUUGGCCUCCCAGAGUGCUGAGAUUACAGGCAUAAGCCACUGUGCCCAGCUGUCUUCAUGGUUCAAUCUUGAUGCAUUGUAUAUGUCCGGAAAUGUAUGCAUUUCUUCUAGGUUUUUUAGUUUGUUGGUGUAUAGUUGUUUAUGUAGUUUCUAAUGAUUCUUUGUACUUCUAUUGUCUCAGUUAUGUCUCUUUUUUCAUUUCUGAUUUUAUGUAUUUGAAUUUUUGCUCUUUUUUUCUUAGUUUAGCUAAAGGUUUAUUUUGUUUAUCUUUUCAAAAAGCCAACUUUUUGUUUCAUUGAUUAUUUGUAAUUUCUUUAGUCUCAAUUUCAUUUAGUUCCCUGAUCUUUAUUAUUUCUUUCCUCCUAAUUCUGGCUUUGGUUUGCUCUUGCUUUUCUAGUGCCUUGAGGUGCAUCAUUAGGUUGUUUAUAUGAAGUCUUUCUACCUUUUUUUUUCUUGAUUUCACAGUGUUUGGAAUCUACUUUUUUCUUAUAGGCAUUUAUUGCUAUAAACAUCCCUCUUGUUACUGCUUCUGCUGUAUCCCAUAGAUUUUGGCUUGUUGUAUUUCCAUUUCCAUUUGUUUCAACUUUUUAAAAUUUCCUUCUUAAUUUCUUUAUUGACCUAUUGAUUGUUCAAGAGCAUGUUGUUUUGUUUCCAUGUGUUGUGUAUUGUCCAAGGCUCUAUAGUGACCUUCUUUAUCUCUUUUUACAGUCUUUUAUUUGUAGUCUAUUUUAUCUGAUAUAAGAAUAACUACUCCUGCUCUUUGUUGGCUUCCAGUUGCAUGGAAUGUCUUUUGCUAUCCCUUCACUUUCAGUCUUGGUGUGUCUUUAUAGGUGAGAUGGGUUUGUUGUAGGCAGCAUAUAGUUGGGUCUUGUUUCUUUAUCCUGUCAGCCAACCCAUGGCUUUUAAUUGGAGAAUUGAGUCCAUUUACAUGCAGGGUUAUUAUUGAUAUUAUUACUACUGCCAUUUUGUUGCUUGUUUUCUGAUCGUUUUGUAACUCCUUGCUUCCUUUCUUUCUUUCUUCCUAUCUUUCUUUAGUCCUGUCUUUCUUUGAGGUUAAGUGAUAUUCUCUGGUAGUAUGUUUUAACUCAUUGCUUUUAUUUUUAAUGAAUCUAUUUCAGGUUUGUGCAUUGUGAUUACCAUGAGGCUUACCAAAAACAUUUUAUAGAUAUAACAGGUUAUUUUAAAGAGAUAACAGCUUAAAGAAAAUAAAAAUGAACACGGAAAAAAGAGUUUAACUUUACAAUUUAACUCCAUCCCCCACAUUCUGACUUUAUGUUGUCUCAAUGUAUGUGUAUUUCUAUAAUGUCCAUCUCCUAACAGAUUGCUGUAGGUAUUGUUGUUUUUGAUAGAUUUGUCUUUUGGGCUGCAUACUAGUUAUGAGUAGAUUGCACAUUGAAAUUAUAGUAUUAGAGUAUUCUGGGUUUGUUCAUGUACUUAAUUUUACCAGCAGGUUUCAUACCUUUACAUAUUUUCUUUUUGCAUGUUAGUGUUUUUUUUUUCUUUCUUUCUGAUUGAAGAAUUCUCCUUAGCACUUCUUGUAACACAGGUCUGGUGGUAGUGAACUCUCAUCUUUUGUUUGUCCAGAAGAGACUUUAUGUCCUCUCCAUAUUUGAAGGGACACUUUUCCAAUACAGUAUUCUUAAAUGGCAGUUUUUUUCUUUCAGCACUUUGAAAAUGCCAUCCCAUUCCCUUCUGAUCUGUAUAGUUCCAAUUGAGAAAUCUGUUGCCAGACAAAUUGGAGCUUUUUUAUAUGUUAUUUGCUUCUUUUCUCUUGCUGCUUUUAGAAUCCUUUCUUUACCCUUGACCAUUGAGCAUUUCGUUAUUAUAUGCCUUUUGGUAGUCUUAUUUGGGUUGAACCUGUUUGGUGUUCUCUGAUCUUCUUGUAUGUGGCUAUUUGUCUCUUUCUCAAGUUUGGAAAGUUUUUUGAGUGUCCGUGUUUGAUUUUGAAUAAGCUUUCCACCCUUUGCUCUUGCUCAACUCCCUUUUGAACACCAAGAAUUCUUAGAUUUGGUCUUUUGAGGUAAUUUUCUAUAUUUAGGAGACAAUUUUUAUUGCAUUUUAUUCUUUUUUUGUUUUUGCUCCUCUGUGUAUUUUUUAGAAGCCUGUCUUUGAGCUUGCUGGUUUUUUCCCUCUGCUUGAUUCAUUUCGCUGGUUGAGAGCCUCUAAUGAUUUUUUUUUUUUUUUUCAGAGACAGAGUCUCACUCUGUCGCCCAGGCUAGAGUGCAGUGGCAUGAUCUUGACUCACUGCAACCUCCGCCUCCUGGGUUCAAGUAAUACGUCUGCCUCAGCCUCCCGAGUAGCUGGGACUACAGGCGCAUGCCACCAUGCCCAGCUCAUUUUUUGUAUUUUAGUAGAGACGGGGUUUCACCAUGUUGCCCAAGCUGGUCUCGAACUCCUGAGCUCAGGCACCUUGGCCUCCCAAAGUGCUGGGAUUACAGGUGUGAGCG
rnacentral:lncRNA from 1 species